UACGAAGGUGGCUAGCGUUGCUCGGAAUCACUGGGCGUAAAGGGUGCGUAGGCGGGUCUUUAAGUCAGGGGUGAAAUCCUGGAGCUCAACUCCAGAACUGCCUUUGAUACUGAGGAUCUUGAGUUCGGGAGAGGUGAGUGGAACUGCGAGUGUAGAGGUGAAAUUCGUAGAUAUUCGCAAGAACACCAGUGGCGAAGGCGGCUCACUGGCCCGGUACUGACGCUGAGGUGCGAAAGCGUGGGGAGCAAACAGG
rnacentral:rRNA from 1 species